UAUGAAAAAGUUGAUCGAGAGCAUCUAGCUUCUCUUAGUAAUCUACAAAGCCGCAAAUAUACAGAUCGUAAAGCUGGAUUCACGCUGGAGGCCCGCGGGAAUGUCAAUAUGAUAGGAGCUGCAACUGUUAAACUUGUAAUCUUUUAUUUUCUGUGCACCUUUCCUUUGGUCAUUGAGAGGACCGAGAAAGAGCACAGCUGUCCUUAGCUGCAAACCGCGGUACAUGGCGCUGUAGCCGGGGAAUCCCUUCCGACAAAGCAGAGUUGAAUAGCGCCUGAUACCAACAAAAAAUUACCAAGAGCCACUGGAGUGCAACCAGAUGCAGCCAGGUCCAGGUGCAACCAUAUUAGGAAGGCCGACUAAGCGUCAUCAAAGCCACUGCCUCACCAGAGCAGGAAUUGGCCUCCCUGAUGCAGUAUUCGGCCACUACCUCCCUCAUGACCCCGGCAAGAAAGCGAUUGCAAGUGGAACGAAAAGUGGAAAUGGUGCCAAAGCCCUAACUGCGCUGAGUGGAGAUGCGAGUACGUCUUCAGUGGUUUUCCUAAGAAGUGCCGCUUCGGCUGCGUGAGCAAGUGUUUCUGCCGGCCAGGUUUCUUCAGAGAUUAUGAGGACAAGUGUGUGGGUUACUUCAGAUGCCUGUACCACCGGAAACGCUACCAGAACAAUCGCCAAGAGUAACGCUUCAGACGAGAUGCAAACACUAAUUGGGUUCUGGUUCUUGCGAGUAAAACUACCAUUUCUACAUAAAAAAGGCUCGGUACAAAAAAAUCAAAAUAAACAGAAACACAAUAUUGCUGUUCCACGAAAGCUUAAA